GAGUUUGAUCAUGGCUCAGGAUGAACGCUGGCGGCGUGCUUAACACAUGCAAGUCGAACGAUCCAGCACUCAACUACCAACUACAUUUUCAAGAAGAAACGAAAGUGUGGUUAGUAGUUGAGUGCUGGAGAGUGGCGGACGGGUGCGUAACGUGUGGGUAAUCUGCCUUUGUCAUGGGAAUAACUGCUUGAAAGAGCAGCUAAUACCGAAUAACAUAUGCAAUAGGCAUCUAUUGGAUAUCAAAGAGAAAUCGGACAAAGAUGAGCCCGCAUCUGAUUAGCUAGUUGGUAGGGUAACAGCCUACCAAGGCAACGAUCAGUAGCCGACCUGAGAGGGUGAACGGCCACAUUGGAACUGAGACACGGUCCAAACUCCUACGGGAGGCAGCAGUGGGGAAUAUUGCACAAUGGGGGGAACCCUGAUGCAGCAACGCCGCGUGAGUGAAGAAGGCUUUCGAGUCGUAAAACUCUGUUGUAAGGGAAGAUAAUGACA
rnacentral:rRNA from 1 species